rnacentral:snoRNA from 1 species
CCAAUAGAUGAUGAUGAUCUGAUUUCUUACAUCAUAACUGGCCUCGACGAAGAUUUAGAGCUGGUGAUCUCGUCUCUGGUUGGUCGUACGGAGCCCCUGACAGUUGCGGAGGCCUACUCCCAGCUGUUGAACUUUGAGC